rnacentral:rRNA from 1 species
UACGUAGGGUGCAAGCGUUAAUCGGAAUUACUGGGCGUAAAGCGUGCGCAGGCGGUUAUGCAAGACAGAUGUGAAAUCCCCGGGCUUAACCUGGGAACCGCAUUUGUGACUGCAAGGCUAGAGUUUGGCAGAGGGGGGUAGAAUUCCACGUGUAGCAGUGAAAUGCGUAGAUAUGUGGAGGAACACCGAUGGCGAAGGCAGCCCCCUGGGUCAAAACUGACGCUCAUGCACGAAAGCGUGGGGAGCAAACAGG